UACAUAUGUAAGUAACAUGAAUUUAAUAAUUAUUAUCCAUGAAUUUUUUUUCACACUAUAAAGCUAACAAAUGAUUCCUAUUUCUAUACUCAAAAAGAAAUAUGGCUAAAGUUUAUAUGGUUAUUUAUACUAUGAUUAUAAUUUUUUCCAUAUUGAAUUAUGUAACAAAUAGCCUUGACUGCAAAACUAAUGGGGAUUGUGAACAACAUCAUGUGUGUCCUAAAGCUGAAGAUAUUCCAAUAUGUGUGUUUGUGGUGUACUUAUCAACAAUGUUAGAGCCCGAGUUUGGGGUUUGUAAAUGUUUCGGGGGAUCCCCGCCGGCCACAAGGCACAAAAGCAGUGGUUUGUGAAUGUAUACAUACUAGGGAUUCCCGCCGGCCACAAGGGGAACGCAUCAAUCAUUUGAUUUGGUUGGCAACAACAUGAAAUAUUUGGAAGCUUAGAAACAAUAUCAUCUUUAAUGGAGGCAUUCCGAAUAAUUUUUCUCUUUUGGACGA